rnacentral:lncRNA from 1 species
UCGAACUCGAUGACCCGCCGCUCCGCCGUCCUCAGCCCGAAGUACCGACGCUGUUCCCCGCCAUCCAAAAGGUGGCGCCCCGGCCACGCCGCCACGUCCCUGCACACUCCCGCCACGACGUCUACACGUGCGCCCGCCCGAAAGGUCAGCGCCGCCGGCCGCUUUGAGGAAUUACGACAAACAGGUGGCGGGCAUGCAUAUACUUACUCUUCUUCUUCUUCGUGAUCGUCCCGGCCACGUGCUUGCUCUUCAUCUUCAGCAUCACCUGCCACACACAGACGACUUCCCUCUCACUCAGUAUGGAUGGAUGGAUGGAUGGAUGGACAGAUAGUCAGCGCGUUUUAUUACAUAGAUUUCUACGAGGG